rnacentral:rRNA from 1 species
UAGGGAAUAUUGGUCAAUGGAUGCAAGUCUGAACCAGCCAUGCCGCGUGCAGGAAGAAGGCCUUCUGGGUUGUAAACUGCUUUUGCCGGGGGAUAAAAAUACCUUGCGAGGUAAAUUGAAGGUACCCGGUGAAUAAGCCACGGCUAACUACGUGCCAGCAGCCGCGGUAAUACGUAGGUGGCAAGCGUUGUCCGGAUUUAUUGGGUUUAAAGGGUGCGUAGGCGGUCCUAUAAGUCAGUGCUGAAAUAUCCCGGCUUAACCGGGAGGGUGGCAUUGAUACUGCAGGACUUGAGUAGAGUUGAGGUUGGCGGAAUUGACGGUGUAGCGGUGAAAUGCUUAGAUAUCGUCAAGAACACCGAUAGUGUAGACAGCUAACUAAGCUCUAACUGACGCUGAGGCACGAAAGUGUGGGGAUCAAACAGGAUUAGAUACCCUGGUAGUCCACACUGUAAACGUUGAUUACUCGCUGUUGGCGAUAUACAGUCAGCGGCUUAGCGCAAGCGAUAAGUAAUCCACCUGGGGAGUACGCCGGCAACGGUGA